UGAGUGUGUUCAGUCUCGAAUCCCCAUUGAAAAUGCAUUAACAUCCUGGAACUUCAUCAAUAUUUUGCCCGGUUAGGAGGUGUCAUGUCGCUGUCCAUGAAGAGACAUUUACGUUUAGUGGGCAGCACUGGGAGUGCAGACGCUAGUUGUCUUAUACAGC